GAUGAACGCUGGCGGCGUGCCUAAUACAUGCAAGUCGAGCGAACAGACGAGGAGCUUGCUCCUCUGACGUUAGCGGUGGACGGGUGAGUAACACGUGGAUAACCUACCUAUAAGACUGGCAUAACUUCGGGAAACCGGAGCUAAUACCGGAUAACAUGUUGAACCGCAUGGUUCAACAGUGAAAGACGGUCUUGCUGUCACUUAUAGAUGGAUCCGCGCCGCAUUAGCUAGUUGGUAAGGUAACGGCUUACCAAGGCAACGAUGCGUAGCCGACCUGAGAGGGUGAUCGGCCACACUGGAACUGAGACACGGUCCAGACUCCUACGGGAGGAAGCAGUAGGGAAUCUUCCGCAAUGGGCGAAAGCCUGACGGAGCAACGCCGCGUGAGUGAAGAAGGUCUUCGGAUCGUAAAACUCUGCUAUUAGGGAAGAACAAAUGUGUAAGUAACUAUGCACGUCUUGACGGUACCUAAUCAGAAAGCCACGGCUAACUACGUGCCAGCCGCCGCCGUAA
rnacentral:rRNA from 1 species